GUAUCAUUAAGUGAAUACAUAGCUUAAUGAAGGUAACCCAGGGAACUGAAACAUCUAAGUACCUGGAGGAAGAGAAAGAAAAAUCGAUUUUCUUAGUAGCGGCGAGCGAAAGGGAAAGAGCCCAAACCGGAAACUUGUUUCCGGGGUUGUGGACAGAACAUAACGAUUGGUAGGACGUAAUCGAAGAGAACUGGAAAGUUCCACCGUAGAAGGUAAUAGUCCUGUAGAUGAAACGGGAAAUCAAUCAGUUCUGAUCCAGAGUACCACGAGACACGUGAAACCUUGUGGGAAGCAGGGAGGACCACCUCCCAAGGCUAAAUACUACCUGAUGACCGAUAGUGAAGCAGUACCGUGAGGGAAAGGUGAAAAGAACCCCGGGAGGGGAGUGAAAUAGAACCUG
rnacentral:rRNA from 1 species